UACGUAGGGGGCUAGCGUUGUCCGGAAUCAUUGGGCGUAAAGCGCGUGUAGGCGGUUCGGUAAGUCCGCUGUGAAAGUCGGGGGCUCAACCCUCGAAAGCCGGUGGAUACUGUCGGGCUAGAGUACGGAAGAGGCGAGUGGAAUUCCUGGUGUAGCGGUGGAAUGCGCAGAGUAUCAGGAGGAACACCAACGGCGAAGGCAGCUCGCUAGGACGGU
rnacentral:rRNA from 1 species